rnacentral:rRNA from 1 species
AUUGAACGCUGGCGGCAGGCCUAACACAUGCAAGUCGAGCGGAGCGGCGGACGGGUGAGUGAUGCCUAGGAAUCUGGCUGGUAGUGGUGGAUAACGUCCGGAAACGGGCGCUAAUACCGCAUACUCUCAGAUGAGCCUAGGCCGGAUUAGCUAGUUGGUGUGGUAAAGGCCUACCAAGGCGACGAUCCGUAUCUGGUCUGAGAGGAUGAUCAGUCACACUGGAACGGAGACACGGCCCAGACUCCUACGGGAGGCAGCAGUGGGGAAUAUUGGACAAUGGGCGAAAGCCUGAUCCAGCCAUGCCGCGUGUGUGAAGAAGGUCUUCGGAUUGUAAAGCACUUUAAGUUGGGAGGCGUUACCAACAGAAUAAGCACCGGCUAACUUCGUGCCAGCAGCCGCGGUAAUAC